rnacentral:rRNA from 1 species
GAUGAACGCUGGCGGCGUGCCUAACACAUGCAAGUCGAACGGAGAUUACAGACGGAAGUUUUCGGAUGGAAGACUGUAAUUCUUAGUGGCGGACGGGUGAGUAACGCGUGGGCAACCUGCCCUAUACAGGGGGAUAGCAGCUGGAAACGGCUGGUAAGACCGCAUAAGUCGGUUAAAUCGCAUGAUUUGACCGGGAAAUGAGCAAUCAGGUAUAGGAUGGGCCCGCGUCCGAUUAGCCAGUUGGCAGGGUAAAAGCCUACCAAAGCGACGAUCGGUAGCCGGACUGAGAGGUCGGACGGCCACAUUGGGACUGAGACACGGCCCAAACUCCUACGGGAGGCAGCAGUGGGGGAUAUUGCACAAUGGAGGAAACUCUGAUGCAGCGACGCCGCGUGAGUGAAGAAGUAUUUCGGUAUGUAAAGCUCUAUCAGCAGGG